GCCGGUGUAGCUCAGACGGUAGAGCAUUGCAUUCGUAAUGCAGGGGUCGUAGGUUCGAGUCCUAUCACCGGCACCA
rnacentral:tRNA from 1 species